CAUAUGUGCUUGAUUUGGAAAAAAAUAUUUGGAACAAUACUGAGAAGAUUAGCAUGGCCUCUGAGCAAGGAUGGCACGCAAAUUCAUGAAGUGUUCCAUAUUUUU